rnacentral:tRNA from 2 species
GCCGCGGUAGCUCAUUGGUAGAGCGUUGCCCUGAAGAGGCAAGCGUAGGCAGUUCGAUUCUGCCCCGCGGCACCU